rnacentral:lncRNA from 1 species
CCUCCCAGUCACAUGCGCGCACUGCAUUGGCAGUGCAAAAAGUCAUGUUAUUACUGCAUCUUCAAACUUAAAAGAGUCAAGUCUGACGGAGAGGACCGGAAAUCUUGCACCAAACGAUUCCCGUGGUGAUUAUAUGUAGCCCAUGAGACUGCUCAAGCCUAAUUAUUUUGAUUUCUUGUAGGCGAAUGAAUUGGCUCUCUGCAUCAUUUAUCAGACUAAAGACUAUAAAAAGAAUGGAACGACAUCGAGUGAUGCAGGACCGAGUAAUAAUUCUUCUUCAGAACCGGUCUUGCAAGCAGAAAAUCAGGCGGCAGUGCUCACCGACCUCCC